CUCACACCCUUCUCCGCGGUGCAAUCUGGCCUUUUCUAGAUUCAAAAAAAAAACUCUCGAACUCUCCGUCUAUGUCACAAUUCUCUCUCAAACCCUAGCAUUCUUCUUCCUCCCCUCCCUGAAUCUCUCCUUGAUAUCUUCCUCCAAUCUUUAAUGGAUUCAUCUUUCUUUGAUUUUGUCCCAAGUCUUUCCAUCCUGGUCAUAGAGAGAGAAACAGAGGGCGGAAGAGAGAGAAAGACGCCGACCUUUUGCUAUGCUCAACGUUCUACCAUUUCUUCGCCAAUUGCGCUAGGAGUUUGCUUCUGAUUUGUAAGCAGUGAAGGCCAGUUUUGAUGUUGCUGGUGAUAAAUUCAAUGUUGUGCUGCUGACAAGUCCCGCAUGCUUGGAGAACAGGUUGUAAAGGGUGCUUCACGGAUCAUUGGUGUAAAUCUCAUUCAUACUUUAUUCCUCUAAAUCUGGGGUCACGCAUCAAGGAUACCUCAAAAUCUUUCGAUUUUGCGUCAAGUAUUCAACCAGGAGAGAGAUAAAGAGAGGGAGGACGCUAAACUUCGUUGCGCUCUGCUAGCAUCAAUCUCCGUCUUUGACUUUGCGGUAUUUUGCAAGACUUAUGAGUAGAAAUGAAGCCAUACAGAGAACGAAGCUCCUAAUGCAGAAAAGUUUGUCACAUGGUGCCCCCAGCCCAAAACUGUCCAAAAUGAUAGAAAUUUUAGUAGAUCAUUUCAGACAUAUGAAUAACAAGACAUAUGAAUAACAGAAGCAUAAAAGAUGCACUAAUGGCUGAGGAGAAGUUCUUCUGUAGCCGCCCGGUAUAUAGACUUGUUUCUCUUUUCUUCAUUUUAGUUUUUGAUGGAGUUGUAGAGUUUAUUGCUAACCUUUCUUUUUAGAUAUGGCGUUGGAUGCCAGUUGUAACAUGUAUGGAUGUUGGAGCAUAUAUGAAUGUUAUGUAUUAUAUACAGGUUUUUAUAUUAAUUUCCGUUUUGGCCGGGUUUCACAUAUUACAAGAGAAACUAUGGCAAAAUUUCUGCAAAA